UAAUAAAUUUGCUGUCAUCAUUUAAUAAACAAGGAGCUUCAUCCAAUCAGAUUACACACACUCCCAUAAUACAUGAUAAUAUAUACUCCCUUACUCACAGCACAAUAACAUCCUAAUGCAUUUAGUCAGAAAUGUGACGUGUGUUAAACGUGUUUAAAACUCGAUGCUCUUCGAUGCAAAACCCAGCUACAUACCUUCUUCCGAUGCUUGUCAUAGUGCUCCUGGUCCCAUUUCUUCUGCAGAUGGCGUAUUUGUUCCUUUCUUCACCGGGCGCUCGGCGGCCAUGUUUUGCAGUGCAGAUAAGCAUUUCUUAAGAGACGCUCACUCAAUUGGAAAAUGUGGCUAUGACAGCUUUAACAUCUGCUCCUGUCACACAAUACACACCGCACACACAAUACACACCGCACACACAACACACACCGCACACACAACACACACCGCACACACAACACACACAGCACACACAGCCCCUCCCCAACAUUCCCCUUCUCUCCU